rnacentral:rRNA from 2 species
GAGUCUUUGACGCAGUUGCGCCCAAAGCCUUUAGGCUGAGGGCACGUCUGCCUGGGCGUCA